GGGAUUGUAACUCAGUGGUAUAGCACUUGCCUAGCAUGCAGGAGGCCCUGGGUUUUAUCCCCAGCACCACCA
rnacentral:tRNA from 1 species